AUUAUUUUACUGGAAAUUGCCAAUUCUUUCCAGUUUUUGGAUGGGAGCCGGCGCUGUUGCAGAAAAAAAAUAUAUAAAAAUGGUGUCUGAGUGUGCAUUUCAUAAUAUAAAUUUAGAUAAAUGUUAACUUUGGACGCUGUGUCGGUUGAACUUGUACUCUUUGAAUUCGUAACAUUUUGACGCCGUAAAUUUAAUAAUCAUUGCUUUUCGAAGGCUACGUGUGCUGAUAUUGUAUCGGAAAAUGUGUGAUUAAAUAUGACUUAGAAUUUAUUAAAUUUGGAUCUGAAUUUAAUUUGUAUGUGGUUUUUUAUGCAAUUGUUGUGAGUGGGAAUAUAACGUGUUUUUACAUAGAAGAAUAAGUGAUGACAAAUUUUUCAUGUCGUUGUGGAAAAAAAUUUACAAAAACAGUGUUUAAGUGUGCAUUUCAUAAUACAAAUUUAAGGUAAUAAAUAUUCAUUUUGUCCAAAUAAGAAACACUUGGAUAUGUAUAUCGUUUGACAUAUAUAGAUUAGAGUAAGGAAUAGCUGGAUGCCAGUUAUUAAGACAGUGGAAGAAAAUUCGACCAGAUAUUGCUAGAAGUAAUGCACAAACACUAAUGUUGCCUUGUAAUAUGUGUACGUAUGCAUUAGAAGCAUAAUAAAUUUUAAGAGUGCAACGUGAUAUGAUACAUACAUAGCGCUCCCUUUAAUUUAGAAUUAAGUGAUCUGUAUAUAAAGUUUGUAUGAAAAUUAUGAUUGUAUGCUCUUGUGAUUUCAUUUGUAAAUAUUAAUUUGGAUGCAAGUAUCUGUGUACAUAAGGUGGAAAUUGGAUAAUAACCGAGGAGAAUAUUUUUGAUUCAUCAAGGAAGAUUAAGAAGAUAGUAAACCAGAUCAAUGAACAUGACACGGAACUUUUUUUAGUGGGAUUUAAUAUUUAAAGUUCCCAUUACUUAAGUCCUGUGAUAUGUUGUUGACGAUCAGCCAGAGUUAAAUGUAUUACAGAACAUAGGGGAAACAUAUAGUAUUCAAUGAAAUACUUGGACAGAUUGCAAAAAUAUUGAAUAAAGAGAUGCACUUACGUUCACGCAAGAUUAAUCUGGAAAUAUGUUUAAGCGUUUGUCUAGACAUCGAUAGGAAAAUUACAACAAUAAAUUUAUGGAGUCA